GAGGAAGUGCAAGGGGAUGGAUGCCAAACAUCAGAGCGAAUGAGGAAGGGCAUCAACAGGAUGAAUAAAUAAACUCUUUCCCCCUGAAUUAAUCUCUCUCAAGUUGAUAUUCUAUUACAGCUUGGACAUCUCCAUGGUAACUGGGAUUCCGCCGGCGUUCCCAAGUGGAUUGGCAGCGUGGCAUGUGCAGACUAACAGUGUGACAGUUGCCAGACGUGGCGGAGUUGCCCGAGUUGGAAUGCCAGAGGGAAUGGAGCGCCACAUGGCAUGUUGAUGGCGGGGCCAGCUAGGGGGGAAACCAGGCCGUUUUCUGCCUUCAGGAGUAUCAUAAGCCAACGCAUCGCGCAAAAAACGUGCAAAGCUGGACAGACAGUGACCAUCUACAUGUCCUGCAAUAAGCAGGCUACUUCCUGCUUCGUGGAGCAUCACUAACAGAUGGGCCGUGCCGUUAUGAUUCUGGAAAAGGGUAAAAGGUUCCCUGGAUCGUCCAUCCUGCACUGUGACUUGGAAGGGUUGCGGGGGGAUCGCUGGAGCCUAUCUCAGCUGCGUUCGGGCGGUUGGCGGGGUACACCCUGGACAAGUCACCACUUCAUCGCAAGGUUAAUAUUUUGCUUAUCUAAAAUUGUGGUUCCUUUCAAGAACCAUAGUUGGCUCAUCUAGAACUAUUUGAGUCUAGAAAAAAUAUUUGGCUGAUCUGGAAUAAGAUGUAAUUUAGGAAUAAUAGAUGUAUAAUCUAGAGCAGGGGUCACCAACCUUUUUGAAACCAAGAGCUACUUCUUGGGUACUGAUUAAUGUGAAGGGCUACCAGUUUGAUACACACUUAAAUAAAUUGCCAGAAAUAUCCAAUUUGCUCAUCCAUCCAUCCAUUUCUACCGCUUAUUCCCUUUUGGG